GAGACAAAAAAAUCUAAAAAAAGAAGGGCACAGAUGGAAGUAAAUUCAAGCAGUGGCAGUAACGUCCGAACAAUCACUAAGGCCAAAAAAUCUAAAAAAAGAAGGGCACAUGUUGAAGAAGAAGUGAAUACUGUCCAUAAAGCUAAAAAGCGAAAGUGUCUCCUAUCCCUCCUGUAUGUCAACUUAAGGACCAGGCUAUACAGACAAAUUCAGUGGUAAGUUCAGAAAUGAAAUGUUAGUUUAUACCAAUAUGUAUGUUUUGUUGAUUCCCCACUUUAAAUUGGCUUGUUCCACAAAACCAGUGCUUCCAAAAAUGUGAAUUUAAAAUAAAAAUAAAUAAUAUAUUUUAUCUUGCUAUCC